rnacentral:rRNA from 1 species
GAUGAACGCUAGCGGCAGGCCUAAUACAUGCAAGUCGAACGAUAUUAAGGGGCUUGCUCCUUAAGAGAGUGGCGCACGGGUGCGUAACGCGUAUGCAACCCACCUUAAUCAGGGGGAUAGCCCGAAGAAAUUCGGAUUAACACCGCAUAAAAACACAGGAUAGCAUUAUCCAAUGUUCAAAUAUUUAUAGGAUUAAGAUGGGCAUGCGUGUCAUUAGCUAGUUGGCGGGGUAACGGCCCACCAAGGCGACGAUGACUAGGGGAUCUGAGAGGAUGACCCCCCACACUGGUACUGAGACACGGACCAGACUCCUACGGGAGGCAGCAGUAAGGAAUAUUGGUCAAUGGAGGCAACUCUGAACCAGCCAUGCCGCGUGCAGGAAGACUGCCCUAUGGGUUGUAAACUGCUUUUAUCCGGGAAUAAACCUUUCUACGUGUAGGAAGCUGAAUGUACCGGAAGAAUAAGGAUCGGCUAACUCCGUGCCAGCAGCCGCCGUAACAC